rnacentral:ncRNA from 1 species
GAAAGCCGUGCGAGAUGAAAGUCUCAUGCACGGUUUUGCAUGAGAGAAAGAAGCGAUCUUUUCUUGUAAGCGGUAGACUCAUAU